rnacentral:rRNA from 1 species
ACACGACUACGGAGUUUGAUCAUGGCUCAGAACGAACGCUGGCGGCAUGCCUAACACAUGCAAGUCGAACGAACCCUUCGGGGUUAGUGGCGCACGGGUGCGUAACACGUGGGAAUCUGCCCUUUGCUUCGGAAUAACAGUUAGAAAUGACUGCUAAUACCGGAUAAUGUCUUCGGACCAAAGAUUUAUCGGCAAAGGAUGAGCCCGCGUAGGAUUAGCUUGUUGGUGAGGUAAAGGCUCACCAAGGCGACGAUCCUUAGCUGGUCUGAGAGGAUGAUCAGCCACACUGGGACUGAGACACGGCCCAGACUCCUACGGGAGGCAGCAGUGGGGAAUAUUGGACAAUGGGCGAAAGCCUGAUCCAGCAAUGCCGCGUGAGUGAUGAAGGCCUUAGGGUUGUAAAGCUCUUUUACCAGGGAUGAUAAUGACAGUACCUGGAGAAUAAGCUCCGGCUAACUCCGUG